rnacentral:tRNA from 1 species
AUCUAAUUAGUCAUUAUAGUAAGUUUUGUAUUCAAUAAAUUAAUUAUUAGAUA